UUUCCGUUGGUGAACCAGCGGAGGGAUCAUUACCAGAGUCUCACAAUUCCCAACCCUACCGUGAACUUACCUCUCGUUGUUUCGGCGGACUCGUCCCAGCGUCUGGACGGCCCCGUCUUGGCUCGCGUCUUGGACCUAGGCGGCCGAUGGAGACCACACAUUCCCGUAUCACCCAGUCUCUCUGAUUCUGCCGCCAGGCCAAACAAAAGAAUCAAAACUUUCAACAAUGGAUCUUUCGGUUUUGGUAUCGAUGAAGAACGCAGCAGUAUGGUCGAGCAC
rnacentral:misc_RNA from 1 species